UGGGGAAUAUCGCGCAAUGGGGGAAACCCUGACCCAGCGACGCCGCGUGCGGGAUGACGGCCUUCGGUUUAUAAUCCGCUCUUGAUUGGGAGCAAGCUUUCGGGUGAGUGUACCUUUCGAAUAAGCGUCGCCUAACUACGUGCCAGCAGCCGCGGUAAUACGUAGGGCGCAAGCGUUAUCCGGAAUUAUUUGGCGUAAAGAGCUUGUAGGCGGUUCGUCGCGUCUGGUGUGAAAGCCCAUCGCUUAACGGUGGGGUUGCGCCGAGUACGGGCGGGCUAGAGUGCAGGAGGGGGGACUGGAAUUCCCGGUGUAACGGUGGAAUGUGUAGGUAUCGGGAAGAAGACCAAUGGCGAAGGCAGGCCGCUGGGGUGUUACUGACGCUGAGAAGCGAAAGCGUGGGGAGCGAACAGG
rnacentral:rRNA from 1 species